GACUUUGCCAGAAGACUUAGGAAGUUCAGACGACUUCCAGACGACUUUACAGGAAGUCCAGACGACUUUUAGGAAGCCCAGACGACUUCCAGACGACUUCCAGACGACUAACAAGGAAGUCGUCCCAGAAGUCUUCCAGAUCUGAAAAACCUGCAUAUUAAAUCCAGAUCUGAAAAACCUGCAUAUUCAAAAACGUUCAAAUGGCUUAAAAACAGAAAAAAUGAAUGGAAGAUUAGAUAAAUCUACCUUUACAGAACACACAAAAAUACAUAUCUAAAAAUAAUAGAUCUACCUUUAAAUUAGUAGAAGAUGAGUACCAUCUAAUUAAAAACCUGCAAAAAAAAAAAAUAGAUUAGUAACAAAGACAUGAGACAAAAUUGAAAAAUUCAUAUAAAGUUUGGUGUUUUCAAGUCAAAGAGAUUAGAGUGGGUUUGGAGAGUUUUAGUUUGAGAAAAAAGUAAGA
rnacentral:lncRNA from 1 species